rnacentral:rRNA from 1 species
GACAAACGCUGGCGGCGUGCCUAACACAUGCAAGUCGAACGGGGUAAAGAGCUUCGGUUUUUUACUUAGUGGCGAACGGGUGAGUAACGCGUGAGGAACCUGCCUUUCAGUGGGGGACAACAGUUGGAAACGACUGCUAAUACCGCAUAAUGCAUUUAGGGGGCAUCCCCUGAAUGCCAAAGCUUUAUGUGCUGAAAGAUGGUCUCGCGUCUGAUUAGCUAGUUGGUGGGGUAACGGCCCACCAAGGCGACGAUCAGUAGCCGGUCUGAGAGGACGACCAGCCACACUGGGACUGAGACACGGCCCAG